CCCCAAGUCGGUGGGGGUCCGUCCAGAAACUCCAUGCCCCUGCCUCACCCUCUGCAGGCCAACGAGACUUUUGCCUUUGUGGGCAACGUGACUCACUAUGCCCAGGUCUGGCUCAACAUCUCGGCGGAGAUCCGCAGCUUCCUGGAGCAGGGCAGGCUGCAGCAACACCUGCGCUGGCUGCAGCAGUAUGUAGCAGAGCUGCGGCUGCACCCCGAGGCACUGAACCUGUCGCUGGAUGAGCUGCCGCCGGCCCUGAGACAGGACAACUUCUCGCUGCCCAGUGGCAUGGCCCUCCUGCAGCA
rnacentral:sRNA from 1 species